rnacentral:rRNA from 1 species
AACGAACGCUGGCGGCAGGCCUAACACAUGCAAGUCGAGCGAGGUAGCAAUACCUAGCGGCGGACGGGUGAGUAACGCGUGGGAACGUGCCCUUUGCUACGGAAUAGCCCUGGGAAACUGGGAGUAAUACCGUAUGUGCCCUUCGGGGGAAAGAUUUAUCGGCAAAGGAUCGGCCCGCGUUGGAUUAGGUAGUUGGUGGGGUAAUGGCCUACCAAGCCGACGAUCCAUAGCUGGUUUGAGAGGAUGAUCAGCCACACUGGGACUGAGACACGGCCCAGACUCCUACGGGAGGCAGCAGUGGGGAAUCUUAGACAAUGGGCGCAAGCCUGAUCUAGCCAUGCCGCGUGAUCGAUGAAGGCCUUAGGGUUGUAAAGAUCUUUCAGCUGGGAAGAUAAUGACGGUACCAGCAGAAGAAGCCCCGGCUAACUCCGUGCCAGCAGCCGCCGUAACAC